rnacentral:tRNA from 1 species
UCCCGUGUAGCUCAGUUGGUAGAGCAGAUGGCUGUUAACCAUCCGGUCGCAGGUUCGAGCCCUGCUGCGGGAG